UGGAAUUAAAGGUGUGAGCGCUACUGCCU
rnacentral:piRNA from 1 species